AUACGUAGGGAGCGAGCGUUGUCCGGAAUUACUGGGUGUAAAGGGAGCGUAGGCGGGAGUGCAAGUCAGAUGUGAAAUACAUGGGCUCAACCCAUGGGCUGCAUUUGAAACUGCAUUUCUUGAGUGAAGUAGAGGUAAGCGGAAUUCCUGGUGUAGCGGUGAAAAGCGUAGAUAUCAGGAGGAACACCGGUGGCGAAGGCGGCUUACUGGGCUUUUACUGACGCUGAGGCUCGAAAGCGUGGGGAGCAAACAGGAUUAGAUACCCUGGUAGUCCACGCUGUAAACGAUGAUUACUAGGUGUGGGGGGACUGACCCCUUCCGUGCCGCAGUUAACACAAUAAGUAAUCCACCUGGGGAGUACGGCCGCAAGGUUGAAACUCAAAUGAAUUGACGGGG
rnacentral:rRNA from 1 species